rnacentral:rRNA from 1 species
GGAAUCGUGUUUCGGCACGAGUUGUAAAUUGCAGGUUGGAGUCUUUGUGGAAGCGUGUGUCCAAGUCCCUUGGAACAGGGCGCCAUUGAGGGUGAGAGCCCCGUGGGAUGCGCGCGGAAGCAGCAAGGCCCUUCUGACGAGUCGAGUUGUUUGGGAAUGCAGCUCUAAGCGGGUGGUAAAUUCCAUCUAAGGCUAAAUACUGGCGAGAGACCGAUAGCGAACAAGUACUGUGAAGGAAAGAUGAAAAGCACUUUGAAAAGAGAGUGAAACAGCACGUGAAAUUGUUGAAAGGGAAGGGUAUUGGGCCCGACAUGGGGAUUGCGCAUCUCUGCUCCUUGUGGGCGGGGCGCUGUGCUUUUCCUGGGCCAGCAUCGGUUUUUGCCGCAGGAGAAGGGGUACUGGAAUGUGGCUCCUCGGAGUGUUAUAGCCAGUGCCAGAUGCUGCGUGCGGGGACCGAGGGCUGCGACAUCUGUCUCGGAUGCUGGCACAACGG